UCGCGCACUCGCGCCUGCUCCUCCCGCACGCGCGCCGCGCCCUCACCUCUCUCUCCCCCUCCAAACCCUACCCCGCGCCGCCGCCGCCGCUCGCCCGGGCACCCAUCACCGGCCUCACGCCGCCCAUCUAGAGAGAUGGGGGCCGCGCGCGACGAGGCCGCCGCCUCCUCCCUCGCUCGAUUUCACCCCUCUCGCAGCCGCCACCCUCCGCCCCUCGCACUCGCCGCCGAUCCCGUCUCUCCUCUCCUCCCCGUUCAUCCCUAGCCCGGCGCCGGUGGCGGCGAUUGCCGUCCCAAUCUCCAUGGCCCCUCCUUCUCCACCGUGGCCCGUUGCUCCGUCAGCAACCUCUCGCCGGUCUGGUUCGAGUCGCUCCGCGCCACCCUAGCCCCGACCCCCCUUCUUCCAAGCUGGCGCGGCCACCAUCGACGGCGAGGAUCAAUACCAGCCGCAGGAGGAGCAGGAGCGCGGCGGGAAGGAGGAGGAUGACCAGGGGAGACCGAGCCGCCAUUCGCCGUCAGCCGUCGACACCUCCUAUUCGACCACACAGAGGGAGCACCGGACCGUCGUCCUUGCGUUCGUUCUCCUCCAGGAAGAAGACGACCCAAGGUGAGCCACCUCUGAUCCAUCUUGCGGAGGCAGCGGGGACUCCAACCUGCGGCUCCACGGCGGCGGCCAGCGAGUUCAUAUCUCCCUCGACGAGAGGACAGGCUCCGGGUUUGCGUCGCAGGGCGUGUAGCUCCACGGCUUCUUCAGGGCCAGCAUCGAGCUGCCCUCUGACUACGCCGCCGGCAUCAUCGUCGCCUUCUACACUUUGGCAUCCGGCACAUGCAACAUGUGCGAGAAGACGCACGGCGAGCUGGACUGCGAGUUCCUUACAGAAAGGACUGCAUACAUUGGACACUUGACUGGAGGUUUAAUUCAUCUGACAUUGUCUUAACUAACUAGGAAGCUGCCAAGCCAGGCACAAGCAGAGAGCUCCGUAUCAUUGAUCCAUAAGAAGCUGGUAAUGGAAAAUCUCAAUGGUGCGCCAUUUGAGGUAUAUCAGCAUCAAAUGGAAAAAGAAAGCAUCCAAAAUGUUAUUCAGAAAGAACAAGUGAACCAAGUACCUGGAGUGAUCUUUUGCUUUCUUUUUGAUACUUAAAAUGGCGAAAUACAUUGAUUCUAGAAGGUCAGAUCUCCGUCGACGUUGCCCAGCCUGUUGGCUUCAUGUGACAAGGCGGGCGAAUCCACUCCUAUGCCGCCAUCGGGUCAUGAUUGCCCUUCUGCAGGUCAGCCAGUUAAUUCCGCAUACCUUUCCGCACUUAAUUCAAUCUUUGUAGGUUUGUUGUAUUUUUAAUUCAUUAAUGGAUCUGCCAUUUCAGAGUUUGUAUUUCAGCCGCGAACAUUUUGUGUAUUCAUCUUUGAUAUAUGCAUUACUUUUCUAUGCACAUUAGAAAUGCGGUUGUCAUGGACUACUCUGUAGGAGAUCUUCCUGAUAUGAUGGAAGACACAAGCAGCCGCUAGGAAGGACAUCUGGAAAAAGGGCGCGCUAUUAGUUGCCACCUCUUCUAUUUCAUAACUGCUACUAGGCCUAUCAAGUUUGGCACUUCUCAUUUCAGAAAUCAGUAGUGAUCCUGGUAGUCAACCAUGCGAGUUUAGCGAGAACAAACAAAGGAGGAAAAAGCUCAAGACAUGUUUAGCAGCUUCUGCUAAAUUGCGGAUCAAGAAGUUAAAGGACACGCUUGUGCCUGGUAUGGGGGCUCAAGUCUGAGCUUUUGCUUGGCUUUAGGUGCAAACAUGGACCUUCAAUUCACCUAGAACAAGAAUCAAAUCCUUGUGCCAAUUGUUGUUGUCAUUUGUAGCCCAUUGGGUGUGACCAUGAUGUAGGCAUUCACUCUAGGAACUGAGAAUAACUUGUUGAUCCUGCCUGGAAGGAAGACAGUGGUUCAAUAGUGAAUUUAACCACUUAUUUAUAGAUUUUUUUUCUUUUGUUGUGUUAUGUAUGGAGAUGCAUAUUCUCAGGCUUAAGGUUUUAGUUAUGGUAGUUUGAAGUGCUAUUGAUUAUGUUAUUGUAACUGGUCCUUGAUCAGCAUGGUGACCAAAGGGAUGCCUCUUGAAAAUUAAGAUCCUUAUUUCG